rnacentral:rRNA from 1 species
CCUACGGGACGCAGCAGUGGGGAAUAUUGGACAAUGGGGGCAACCCUCAUCCAGCAAUGCCGCGUGUAUGAAGAAGGUCUUCGGAUUGUAAAGUACUUUCGACAGGGACGAUGAUGACGGUACCUGUAGAAGAAGCCCCGGCUAACUUCGUGCCAGCAGCCGCGGUAAUACGAAGGAGGCUAGCGUUACUCGGAAUGACUGGGCGUAAAGGGCGCGUAGGCGGCUUAUACAGUCAGAUGUGAAAUUCCUGGGCUUAACCUGGGACCUGCAUUUGAUACGUAUAGGCUAGAGUCUGAAAGAGGAUUGUGGAAUUCCAAGUGUAGAGGUGAAAUUCGUAGAUAUUUGGAGGAACACCGGUGGCGAAGGCGGCAAUCUGGUUCACAACUGACGCUGAGGCGCGAAAGCGUGGGGAGCAAACAGGAUUAGAUACCCUGGUAGUC